UACAGAGGGUGCGAGCGUUGUUCGGAAUUAUUGGGCGUAAAGCGCUUGUAGGCGGCACGUCAAGUCGCGUGUGAAAUCCCCAGGCUUAACCUGGGAAGUGCGCGCGAAACUGACGAGCUUGAGUGCCGGAGAGGGUCGCGGAAUUCCCGGUGUAGAGGUGAAAAUUCGUAGAUAUCGGGAGGAACACCAGUGGCGAAGGCGGCGACCUGGACGGACACUGACGCUGAG
rnacentral:rRNA from 1 species